rnacentral:tRNA from 1 species
GCCCGGCUAGCUCAAUCGGUAGAGCGUGAGACUCUUAGUUAUCACGCCCUCAAAGGCACGAUUGUUUCAAAAUCUCAAGGUUGUGGGUUCGACCCCCACGUCGGGCU